AUUAUCAUGUUCUUUAUAUAUGACGAAUUCAGGUACCUGAUUUGGAGCUGUAUGAGAACAGAGACGAGACUGCGAAAAGCGAACAGGUUCUUGGCUGCAUUGGUCAGUUUUAUGUGGUGAAAGUAAUGUUGAUACUGAGCUAUUUUUGCAUUGGAGCAAGAAGUACAGUUUGCUCCAUAACCUUAGCAGUGUUACUGACAUUUUCCUGAUGGUAAUGGUUUAAAUCAGGUGAUGUUGGUGUGUGGGAGUUUCUUAUUAUUGGUAGCAUAUUGUUGAAUGACUUGAUUCCUCUAGGUUGUCUUGAACUUUCAAGUUGUUUGGAAUCAAGGAAACUGAUGGUGCAGCUGCAAUGUUCUCUCAACAUGCUCGAACGAGAUACUGGGAAUCAAUUACAUAAGCAUUUAGGUGACACUGGACAUGCUUCACUGAAGAGGUGAAGAACUAAUGAUGGAACCUUGCUGAAUAUUGGAUUGAUGCGAGUAAACUAUGAACCAUGCUUCAACAGAUUAUCUGCCCUAAUAUGCUACAUGAGAUGACACCGGCCUUGUCUUGCUUCGCAUGUAUCAGUACCCAAUCUCGUUUGUCUAGUUACACCCCAUUCACGACAUAGAAAAUGUCUGCUGAAGAU